rnacentral:rRNA from 1 species
UUAGAAGCAGCCAUCCUAUAAUAAGUGCGUAACAGCUUACUCAUCGAGGUUGUAGGUCUCGAAAAUUGACGGGGCUAAAUUAGCCGCCGAUACUACAGACGCAGAAAUGCGUGAUAGACAGGCGUCCUGUUAGGGCAGAAGUGUUUCCGUGAGGAGAUGUGGACCUUUCAGGAAUGAAAAUCCUGGUGGUAGUAGGAUCUUAGCAGAGUGAGAAUCUCUGUCGCCGAAAGGGCAAGGGUUCCUUGACAAUGUCGUUCAGUCAAGGGUAAGUUGAUCCUAACCAAGCUCGUAAUGUGAGUAAUGGGAAAGGGAAACAGGUUAAUAUUCCUGUACUAUUUUAGUAUGCGUGGUAACACAAGUCUAGUUUCUGACGGUUUGGGCUAAGCCAACACAUCUUGUCUGAUGUGUUAACAAGGAUAAGUCAAGGGAGUAUUGUAAUGAUGAGAACUUGAUUAAACCUUGGAAUAGCAAUCCUAGAGGUUGUUUGGCUGAUGCCUGGAGCCAGUGAAAAGGGAAUUGGAAAAAAUCUAAAGUAUUCAUACCAAGAACCGGCACAGGUGCCCCUAGGUGAGUAGCCUAAGGUGUGAAGGGAUAAUCUAAGUAAGGGAAUUCGGCAAAUUGGCCCCGUGUCUUUGGUAUAAGGGGUCCCUGCUUUUGUGUUUGUAUAGAUGUGAAAGCAGGGCGCAGUGACUAGGGGGGGACGACUGUUUAACAAAAACAUAGCUUCCUGCUAGCCAGUGAUGGUGUGUAUAGGAGGCGACGUCUGCCCAGUGUCAGUACUUUAAACUCCUUUUCAAGGGAGCUAAGAGCUGAUAAACGGCGGGAGUAACUAUAACUCUCUUAAGGUAGCGAAAUGCCUUGCCGUUUAAUUGACGGCCUGCAUGAAUGGCGUAACGAUCUCCCCACUGUCCCUACUUAGAACCCUCCGAACACUCUUUUUUGGUGCAAAAGCCAGAGAUCUCCAGUGGGAAGUGAAGACCCCGUGAAACUUUACUAUAGUUUGUUGUUGUGAUGUGAGCUUUAUUGUGCAGUGUAGGUGGUAGCUGUUAAGUUGCGAUCGCUAGAUCGUGAAUAGGCAUAAAUGAGACACCACCCUCUAAAACUUAUAUCGCUCACUUUUGUAAAGUCGAAAGGACAUCAGUAGAUAGAUAGUUUGGCUGGGGUGGCACUCUGUUGAAAAGAUAUCAACAGAGCCCAAAGGUUGACUCAUCCGAUUUAGAAAUUCGGAGUUGAGUGCAAGAGCAAAAGUCAGCCUGAUUGGAUUCUUAAUAAGACGGAUUCCAACCGCGAAAGCGUGGUCUAGCGAACUUCUAAACCUCCUUGAUGGGGGUUAGAAAUGACCGAAAAGUUACUCCGGGGAUAACAGAGUUGUCGCGCCUGAGAGUUCAUAUCGACGGCGCGGUUUGCUACAUCGAUGUCGGCUCUUCCUAACCUGGCGGUGCAGAAGCUGCCAAGGGUGCGGGUGUUCACCGAUUAAAAGGGAUCGUGAGCUGGGUUCAGAACGCUGUGAGGCAGUUUGUUUGAUAUCUACUGGAGAUGUUUGAUGUCUGAAAGGAAUAACCUUCUAGUACGAGAGGAACGAAGGUUAGAGGCCUCUGGUCUACCUGUUAUCUGACAAGGUAAGCAGGGCAGCUACGCCUUAUAGGAUAAGUGCUGAAAGCAUCUAAGCACGAAGCCUUCCUUGAAAAGAGACAUCAUAGAACUCUCGCAAAACACGAGUUUAAUGGGACAGGAGUGUAAGUGCGAAGGCAACGACGCAUUCAGCUCGCUGUUUCCAACAGUUCAAUCUUUUAGUUU